rnacentral:rRNA from 1 species
CCUACGGGAGGCAGCAGUGGGGGAUAUUGCACAAUGGGGGGAACCCUGAUGCAGCGACGCCGCGUGGGUGAAGGAGCGUUUCGGCGCGUAAAGCCCUAUCGGCAGGGAAGAAGGAGGACGGUACCUGACUAAGAAGCCCCGGCUAACUACGUGCCAGCAGCCGCGGUAAUACGUAGGGGGCAAGCGUUAUCCGGAUUUACUGGGUGUAAAGGGGGCGCAGACGGCAGCGCAAGCCAGGAGUGAAAGCCCGGGGCCCAACCCCGGGACUGCUCUUGGAACUGCGCGGCUGGAGUGCAGGAGGGGCAGGCGGAAUUCCUGGUGUAGCGGUGAAAUGCGUAGAUAUCAGGAGGAAAACCGGUGGCGAAGGCGGCCUGCCAAGCCAUGACUGACGCUGAUGCACGAAAGCGUGGGGAUCAAACAGGAUUAGAUACCCCUGUAGUC